AGUGAACGCUGGCGGUAGGCCUAACACAUGCAAGUCGAACGGCAGCACAGUAAGAGCUUGCUCUUACGGGUGGCGAGUGGCGGACGGGUGAGGAAUACAUCGGAAUCUACUUUUUCGUGGGGGAUAACGUAGGGAAACUUACGCUAAUACCGCAUACGACCUACGGGUGAAAGCAGGGGAUCUUCGGACCUUGCGCGAUUGAAUGAGCCGAUGUCGGAUUAGCUAGUUGGCGGGGUAAAGGCCCACCAAGGCGACGAUCCGUAGCUGGUCUGAGAGGAUGAUCAGCCACACUGGAACUGAGACACGGUCCAGACUCCUACGGGAGGCAGCAGUGGGGAAUAUUGGACAAUGGGCGCAAGCCUGAUCCAGCCAUACCGCGUGGGUGAAGAAGGCCUUCGGGUUGUAAAGCCCUUUUGUUGGGAAAGAAAAGCAGCAGGUUAAUACCCCGCUGUUCUGACGGUACCCAAAGAAUAAGCACCGGCCAGCUUCGUG
rnacentral:rRNA from 1 species